rnacentral:tRNA from 1 species
GGCAGCUCAGUGGUAGAGUGUGUGUUUAAAUGUACAAGGCCUUGGGUUCAAUCCCCAACAAUGCCU